UGAAAGAUGAACUGAGGUCCUCACUCCAAUCCAGUUGGGAGUGGUAAUGCGCCUUAAAGUUGGUUGCCAAGUGCCAUAUAAAUGUCGAAAGAAUAAGAAGAAGCCUAAAGGAGGAGAGAUUACUAGAAACAUACUCGGUUGACCCUUUUAUCUAUGGAUUAAUUGUCGGAGUAGAGGACCUUGUGCAUUUCAGGUAUGAGUUGCACACCAUUAUAGAUGAGGUGUACAUGCUGAUGGUGUUUGAAGAGACAGCCACCUUCAACAGCGUCCUUAUUAUGGAGAGCUUGCCGGACCACCAGAGAACACAUGUGAUGUGGGGGAUCAGCAAGUGUCAGUGAAUCGCACUGGGUCUUCAGGCACAUGGGCAAUCAAGGCUGGUCCUGGUGGCUGGGACACAGGGAACCAGCGUGAACCAGAGUGCUUCCGACCUGCAGCCCCUAUGAGGCAGAGGAAGCGUCCGGCGUGCAG
ensembl:lncRNA